rnacentral:rRNA from 1 species
CUACGGGUCGCUGCAGUGAGGAAUAUUGCACAAUGGAGGAAACUCUGAUGCAGCAACGCCGCGUGGAGGAUGACGCAUUUCGGUGUGUAAACUCCUUUUAUAUGUCAAGAAAAUGACGGUAGCAUAUGAAUAAGCACCGGCUAACUCCGUGCCAGCAGCCGCGGUAAUACGGAGGGUGGCAAGCGUUACUCGGAAUUACUGGGCGUAAAGGACGCGUAGGCGGGAUAUCAAGUCAGGUGUGAAAUCCUACAGCUUAACUGUAGAACUGCACUUGAAACUGGUAACCUAGAGUAUGGGAGGGGGAGAUGGAAUUAGUGGUGUAGGGGUAAAAUCCGUAGAUAUCACUAGGAAUACCUAAAGCGAAGGCGAUCUCCUGGAACAUAACUGACGCUAAGGCGUGAAAGCGUGGGGAGCAAACAGGAUUAGAUACCCGUGUAGUC